rnacentral:rRNA from 1 species
GACGAACGCUGGCGGCGUGCUUAACACAUGCAAGUCGAACGGAAAGGCCCUGCUUUUGUGGGGUGCUCGAGUGGCGAACGGGUGAGUAACACGUGAGUAACCUGCCCUUGACUUUGGGAUAACUUCAGGAAACUGGGGCUAAUACCGGAUAGGAGCUCCUGCUGCAUGGUGGGGGUUGGAAAGUUUCGGCGGUUGGGGAUGGACUCGCGGCUUAUCAGCUUGUUGGUGGGGUAGUGGCUUACCAAGGCUUUGACGGGUAGCCGGCCUGAGAGGGUGACCGGCCACAUUGGGACUGAGAUACGGCCCAGACUCCUACGGGAGGCAGCAGUGGGGAAUAUUGCACAAUGGGCGGAAGCCUGAUGCAGCAACGCCGCGUGCGGGAUGACGGCCUUCGGGUUGGAAACCGAUGUCGCCUGUGACGAAGCGUGAGUGACGGUAAUGGGUAAAGAAGCACCGGCUAACUACGUG